GAUGGGCUCGCGUUGGAUUAGAUAGUUGGUGGGGUAACGGCCUACCAAGUCGACGAUCCAUAGCCGGACUGAGAGGUUGAACGGCCACAUUGGGACUGAGACACGGCCCAGACUCCUACGGGAGGCAGCAGUGGGGAAUAUUGCACAAUGGGGGAAACCCUGAUGCAGCAACGCCGCGUGAAGGAAGACGGUUUUCGGAUUGUAAACUUCUGUUCUUAGUGAAGAAUAAUGACGGUAGCUAAGGAGCAAGCCACGGCUAACUACGUGCCAGCAGCCGCGGUAAUACGUAGGUGGCAAGCGUUGUCCGGAAUUACUGGGUGUAAAGGGAGCGCAGGCGGGAAGCCAAGUCAGCUGUGAAAACUAUGGGCUUAACUUGUAGACUGCAGUUGAAACUGGUUUUCUUGAGUGAAGUAGAGGUUGGCGGAAUUCCGAGUGUAGCGGUGAAAUGCGUAGAUAUUCGGAGGAACACCGGUGGCGAAGGCGGCCAACUGGGCUUUAACUGACGCUGAGGCUCGAAAGUGUGGGGAGCAAACAGGAUUAGAUACCCUGGUAGUCCACACUGUAAACGAUGAU
rnacentral:rRNA from 1 species